rnacentral:rRNA from 1 species
UACGGAGGAUGCAAGCGUUAUCCGGAAUGAUUGGGCGUAAAGCGUACGCAGGUGGCAGUUCAAGUCUGCUGUUAAAUACUAGGGCUUAACCCUGGAGCGGCAGUGGAAACUGAACAGCUAGAGUUCGGUAGGGGUAGAGGGAAUUCCCAGUGUAGCGGUGAAAUGCGUAGAGAUUUGGAAGAACACCGGUGGCGAAAGCGCUCUGCUAGGCCGCAACUGACGCUCAUGUGCGAAAGCUAGGGUAGCGAAUGGG